rnacentral:rRNA from 1 species
GACGAACGCUGGCGGCGUGCCUAAUACAUGCAAGUCGAGCGAAGUUUUUCUGGUGCUUGCACUAGAAAAACUUAGCGGCGCACGGGUGAGUAACACGUAAAGAACCUGCCUCAUAGACUGGGACAACUAUUGGAAACGAUAGCCAAUACCGGAUAACAGUAUUUCUCGCAUGAGAGAUAUUUAAAAGUUGGUUAUGCUAACACUAUGAGAUGGCUUUGCGGUGCAUUAGCUAGUUGGUGGGGUAAAGGCCCACCAAGGCGACGAUGCAUAGCCGACCUGAGAGGGUGAUCGGCCACACUGGGACUGAGACACGGCCCAGACUCCUACGGGAGGCAGCAGUAGGGAAUCUUCCGCAAUGGGCGAAAGCCUGACGGAGCAACGCCGCGUGAGUGAAGAAGGAUUUCGGUUCGUAAAGCUCUGUUGUUAGGGAAGAAUGGAUAUGUAGUAACUAUACAUGUAAGAGACGGUACCUAACCAGAAAGCCACGGCUAACUACGUG